AGAAUCCCACUGGGGGGUUGAAUCAGAGGUGUUCUUUCUCAACUCAGCAGUAGCUGAGAGGCAGCUACUGCCUGGUUCAGGCUUCUGUGGGAAUCAAGUCUAGGACGCCCUGUAUUGGUUUUUGUUUGUCUUGUUUUCUGUGGUAUUAUUGUGAAUGUCAGGCUGUGGUCCUGAAUGUUGUCGAUGCUGAAGGGGAGAUGGGGGAGGCUGAAGUGGUGGCCCUGGCCCUGGGACCAGCUUUAGGGUUGGCUUUCAGGGGCUGCUGAGCUAUGUUCUGCUCCUGGGAGUGUGACCAGCAGGUUGAGGUGGCGCAGGAGACCCUGGUGGAGGUGCUGGGCCCUUAGGAGCCUCUUUUGAGCUUGGUGUAGGCAGCCAUGGUUGGAGUGGCUGGCCAUGAGCACUCUGGUAUCUGGGGCUGAAUUCGGCGUUCUGGUGAGAGACCUGGAUCCUCACUGACCCUACUAGGCAAGAAUUAGUCAGGUUGAUCUGGGAGUCUAUCUCUCACCUUCUCUGACCUUCCCUGUCUUCUUUCGUCACCAUGGCUGCUUUGCAUACUUACCUAAUGAUGCUUCAUGUUCCCCUGCAUCCCACCUGCCUGCCUCCAGUCUUUGGCAUGCCGGGUGGUCACAGGUCCUUUCUGGUCUUCCAUGCUUUCCCCUAUGCCCCCAAGACUCAACAGAAAUUCUGGUACCAUCCCAUGUCGCUUGCAGUAAGCCAGAGUGCCUCUUGUUAGUGAGAGAAAGUGAUUUCACUUUGAGACAUCAGUGGCCCAGCAUAGCCAGCUGUGAGUGCUGUGCUCACUCCCCUGCCCCAUGUAUGUUUUCGGGUGGCCCUGCCCCCAUUCCUUUCCCCCUUGUGCUGCUGGCCAUGAAUCUGUUCCAAGCUCUGGUGAGGAAGGAAUGCGCCCUCUCAGGGCUUCUCCUGCCCAAUCAGCCCACUGGUAGAGCCCUGCUCUCUGGGAACUCACCUCCUGCCCAUCACGGAAGGCUGCAAGCACUGCUGGUGCAGAGCCCCAGGCGGCAGUCUCCAAGUUCCUUAUGCCAAGGGCAGAGCAGUCCUCACUGGAGAUUACUGGCACAUGGACUUGACUCCAAGGUACACCGUGCCCCUUAGAAAGGCAGCCCACGGGACAAUUGUCAGCAAUUGUUGCAAGUUCUCUUCAUCACACAGGAAGAAUGUCCUGGAAGCAGAUGGGAGGCCCUCUCAGCUGCUUUGGUGACAUAGACACUAGGUUCAUGGAAGCAGGCUGGCGUGAGGUUCCCUUCCAGGCAUCUGUUACAGGUUUCAGCUGCAAGUCUGUCUCCACAUGGGACCUGCUGCCACAGAUCCAUCUGAGACAGCGCCAUCUCCUGCGACCUACAGACAAAAAAGCUGCCUUCCUCCAAAAAUCUCAUCUGACUGAGGACUCCCAAGACAAGUGCUAAACCACAGAAGACAGACUUGGGACCUUCCAGCUAGAGAUGGACUCAUUUGCCAAAGCCAAAUGGCUGCUGAACUUUGGGGAAAGUUACAUGAUAGUGAGGAAAACAUAAUGUCUAUCUAGAUUAAUUAAUUGAUGUUCAAAAUGGAUGCUAUCGCCCUCAAUUUGUACUACCCAUGGAACAAAUAAUUGGUUGUACAAUC
rnacentral:lncRNA from 1 species